GCACCAGUGGUUUAGUGGUAGAAAAGUACCCUGCCACGGUACAGACCCGGGUUUGAUUCUCGGCUGGCUCG
rfam:Ipomoea nil DNA, scaffold: scaffold3400, cultivar: Tokyo-kokei standard.